rnacentral:sRNA from 1 species
AAGAAAUUGAGAGCCAUUUUCUUUAUCUGGGUACAAGAAAUAGGGUAUUUUGCAAAACUUACGAGUUUGGAUAAAAUAUUUAAGAAUAUGUAACGCCCGUGAACCGGAAAAUCGGUUAGGAUUUGUUUUUAAAUCAUCCGGUUUAAUUGGUUGGGUUAAUUGGAAACCCUAGAGUGUGCCUAUAAAAUAAGGAAACUCGAAAUUAGGGCUUUAGUUAGCCACUUUUCGUUUUAUAAAGAAGAAAAAAAGAGAAAAGGAGAAGGAGCAGAAUCGUUAGGGUUUGGGAGAAAUCAGUUUCGUCAUAUCAAAUCGUGGUAAAAGGUAACAAAAGUUGGUAUAGUUAUUCCCAAGUCCUUUAUCGUUAUUCUCCAGUUUACAGAAUUGGAUUUGGAUUAAAAUUGGUUGAGUUAUUCGCAGUUUCGUGAGACACAUUUUCUCAGACGCGAAUUAGGAUCAGCGGAGAUUGAAACUGAGAUCGUGGUCUCGUCUGUUUUCCGAUCGGCACGAGAUUUUGUGGGCAACUUUGUGACGUCUGCGGCUAGGAUUUCACCGUAACGAUUGAAUAGUUAACGGUUAGUUUGUAUUUUAGGGUUUUGUCUUUGAGACUGCUUGUUUCUGGUUUUUCCUGUCCAGUUUGCUUCAAGGUUGCUUUUGGUUGUGGACUUGGUGUAGGACGUUUCUGAACUGUUUCAGACGCC